CAGUAGCCGCGGUAAUACGUAGGGUGCGAGCGUUAAUCGGAAUUACUGGGCGUAAAGCGUGCGCAGGCGGUUCGUUAAGACAGAUGUGAAAUCCCCGGGCUUAACCUGGGAACUGCAUUUGUGACUGACGGGCUAGAGUAUGGCAGAGGGGGGUAGAAUUCCACGUGUAGCAGUGAAAUGCGUAGAGAUGUGGAGGAAUACCGAUGGCGAAGGCAGCCCCCUGGGCCAAUACUGACGCUUAUGCACGAAAGCGUGGGGAGCAAACAGGAUUAGAUACCCCGGUAGUCCCUGUCUCUUAUAC
rnacentral:rRNA from 1 species